CCGUGAUCCGGGUUGGGGACAGUGUAUGGUGGGCAGUUUGACUGGGGCGGUCGCCUCCUAAAGAGUAACGGAGGCGUACGAAGGUAAGCUCAAAUUGAAAAAACUCAAUUGAAGAGCAUAAUAGUAUAUUGCUUGCUUGACUGAAAGAUUGACAAAUCGAACAGGGACGAAAGUCGGUUAUAGUGAUCCGGUGAUUCUGAGUGGAAAAGAUCAUCGCUCAACGGAUAAAAGGUACUCCGGGGAUAACAGGCUGAUACCGCCCAAGAGUUCAUAUCGACGGCGGUGUUUGGCACCUCGAUGUCGGCUCAUCACAUCCUGGGGCUGGAGAAGGUCCCAAGGGUUCGG
rnacentral:rRNA from 1 species